rnacentral:rRNA from 1 species
AUUGAACGCUGGCGGCAGGCUUAACACAUGCAAGUCGAACGAGUGGCGGACGGGUGAGUAAUGCUUGGGAAUCUAGCUUAUGGAGGGGGAUAACUACGGGAAAAUGUAGCUAAUACCGCGUACCAUAGGAUGAGCCCAAGUGGGAUUCUGUAGUUGGUGAGGUAAAGGCUCACCAAGCCGACGAUCUUUAGCUGGUCUGAGCGGAUGACCGGCCACUCUGGGACGGAGAGACGGCCCUGACUCCUACGAGAGGACGCAGUGGGGAAUAUUGCGCAAUGGGAGCAACCCUGACACAGCCAUGCCGCGUGUAUGAAGAAGGCCUUAGGGUUGUAAAGUACUUUCAGCGGGGAGGCGUUACCCGCAGAAGAAGCACCGGCUAACUCCGUGCCAGCCGCCGCGGUAAUAC